UACAGAGGUCUCAAGCGUUUGUUCGGAUUCAUUGGGCGUAAAGGGUGCGUAGGCGGCGCGGUAAGUCGGGUGUGAAAUCUUGGAGCUUAACUCCGAAACUGCAUUCGAUACUGCCGUGCUUGAGGACUGGAGAGGAGACUGGGAAUUUACGGUGUAGCGGUGAAAUGCGUAGAUAUCGUAAGGAAGACCAGUGGCGAAGGCGGGUCUCUGGACAGUUCCUGACGCUGAGGCACGGAAGGUCAGGGGAGCAAACGGG
rnacentral:rRNA from 1 species